AUUGAACGCUGGCGGCAGGCCUAACACAUGCAAGUCGAGCGAGCGGCGGACGGGUGAGAAAUGCCUGGGAAUCGACCAGUCGAGGGGGAUUACGGUUGGAAACGACUGAUAAUGCCGCAUAUGACCGGAUUGCUCAGUUGGCAUUAGCUUGUUGGUGAGGUAAUGGCUCACCAAGGCAACGACCCAUAGCUUGUCUGAGAGGAUGAGCAGCCACACUGGAACUGAGACACGGUCCAGACUCCUACGGGAGGCAGCAGUGGGGAAUAUUCCGCAAUGGGGGAAAGCCUGAUGCAGCCAUGCCGCGUGAGUGAAGAAGGCCUUCGGAUCGUAAAGCACUUUCAGCGGGGAGGCGUUACUCGAAGAGGAAGCACCGGCUAACUCCGUGCCAGCAGCCGCGGUAAUAC
rnacentral:rRNA from 1 species